rnacentral:rRNA from 1 species
AAACCGGAGCUAAUACCGGAUAAUAUAUUGAACCGCAUGGUUCAAUAGUGAAAGACGGUUUUGCUGUCACUUAUAGAUGGAUCCGCGCCGCAUUAGCUAGUUGGUAAGGUAACGGCUUACCAAGGCAACGAUGCGUAGCCGACCUGAGAGGGUGAUCGGCCACACUGGAACUGAGACACGGUCCAG